UACAGAGGGUGCGAGCGUUAAUCGGAAUUACUGGGCGUAAAGCGUGCGUAGACGACUAUCUAAGUCGGGUGUGAAAGCCCCGGGCUCAACCUGGGAAUUGCAUUCGAGACUGAAUAGCUAGGGUACGGUAGAGGGAAGUGGAAUUUCCGGUGUAGCGGUGAAAUGCGUAGAUAUCGGAAGGAACAUCAGUGGCGAAAGCGACUUCCUGGACCAGUACCGACGUUCAGGCACAAAAGCGUGGGGAGCAAACAGG
rnacentral:rRNA from 1 species